rnacentral:rRNA from 1 species
AUACGGAGGGUGCGAGCGUUAAUCGGAAUUACUGGGCGUAAAGCGUACGUAGGCGGUUGGUUAAGUUAGAUGUGAAAGCCCCGGGCUUAACCUGGGAACUGCAUUUAAAACUGGCGAACUAGAGUUGAGUAGAGGGGAGUGGAAUUUCAGGUGUAGCGGUGAAAUGCGUAGAGAUCUGAAGGAACACCAGUGGCGAAGGCGACUCCCUGGACUAAAACUGACGCUGAGGUACGAAAGCGUGGGUAGCAAACAGAAUUAGAAACCCCAGUAGUCC